rnacentral:lncRNA from 1 species
CGCAGCGGCCAGGCGUUCCUCCAGAACCUCCUCCCACAGGAGCUUGCUACAUGUGCUGGAAAUCUGGCCACUGGGCCAAGGAAUGCCGGCAGCCCGGGAUUCCUCCUAAGCCGCGUCCCAUCUGUGUGGGACCCCACUGAAAAUCGGACUGUUCAACUCACCUGGCAGCCACUCCCAGAGCCCCUGGAACUCUGGCCCAAGGCUCUCUGACUGACUCCUUCCCAGAUCUUCUCGGCUUAGCGGCUGAAGACUGACACUGCCCGAUCGCCUCGAAAGCCCUGUAGACCAUCACAGACGCUGAGCUUCGAGUAACUCUCACAGUGGAAGGCGGCAGGAAUGUCAGGCCUCUGAGCCCAAGCCAAGCCAUCGCAUCCCCUGUGACUUGCACGUAUACAUCCAGAUGGCCUGAAGUAACUGAAGAUCCACAAAAGAAGUAAAAAUAGCCUUAACUGAUGACAUUCCACCAUUGUGAUUUGUUCCUGCCCCACCUAACUGAUCAAUGUACUUUGUAAUCUCCCCCACCCUUAAGCAGGUUGUUUGUAAUUCUCCCCACCCUUGAGAAUGUACUGUGUGAGAUCCACCCCUGCCCGCAAAACAUUGCUCUUAACUUCACCGCCUAUCCCAAAACCUAUAAGAACUAAUGAUAAUCCAGC